rnacentral:rRNA from 1 species
ACGAACGCUGGCGGCGUGCCUAAUACAUGCAAGUUGAGCGCUGAAGGUUGGUACUUGUACCGACUGGAUGAGCAGCGAACGGGUGAGUAGCGCGUGGGGAAUCUGCCUUUGAGCGGGGGACAACAUUUGGAAACGAAUGCUAAUACCGCAUAAAAACUUUAAACACAAGUUUUAAGUUUGAAAGAUGCAAUUGCAUCACUCAAAGAUGAUCCCGCGUUGUAUUAGCUAGUUGGUGAGGUAAAGGCUCACCAAGGCGAUGAUACAUAGCCGACCUGAGAGGGUGAUCGGCCACAUUGGGACUGAGACACGGCCCAAACUCCUACGGGAGGCAGCAGUAGGGAAUCUUCGGCAAUGGACGAAAGUCUGACCGAGCAACGCCGCGUGAGUGAAGAAGGUUUUCGGAUCGUAAAACUCUGUUGGUAGAGAAGAACGUUGGUGAGAGUGGAAAGCUCAUCAAGUGACGGUAACUACCCAGAAAGGGACGGCUAACUACGUG